rnacentral:SRP_RNA from 1 species
GCUGGGCGCGGUGGCACAUGCCUGUAGUCCCAGCUACUCAGGAGGCUGAGGUGGGAGGAUCACUUGAGCCCAGGAGUUCUGGGCUGUAGUGCGCUAUGCCGAUCCGGUGUCCGCACUAAGUUCGGCAUCAAUAUGGUGACCUCCCGGGAGCAGAGGACCACCAGGUUGCCUAAGGAGGGGUGAACCAGCCCAGGUCGGCAAUGGAGCAGGUCAAAACUCCCGUGCUGAUCAGUAGUGGGAUUAUGCCUGUGAAUAGCCACUGUACUCCAGCCUGGGCAACAUAGGGAGACCCUAUCUCUA